CAUGCAUGUCUAAGUACACACGAAUUAAAAGUGAAACCGCAAAAGGCUCAUUAUAUCAGUUAUGGUUCAUUAGAUCGUUAACAGUUACUUGGAUAACUGUGGUAAUUCUAGAGCUAAUACAUGCAAUAUAAACACGGACCUUUUGGAACGUGUGCUUUUAUUAGGCUAAAACCAAGCGAUUUUUUCGGAAAUCGUUAUUAUGGUUGAACUCUAGAUAAUUUGCCGAUCGUAUGGUCUUGUACCGACGACAGAUCUUUCAAAUGUCUGCCCUAUCAACUAUUGAUGGUAGUAUUUAGGACUACCAUGGUUGCAACGGGUAACGGGGAAUCAGGGUUCGAUUCCGGAGAGGGAGCCUGAGAAACGGCUACCACAUCUAAGGAAGGCA
rnacentral:rRNA from 1 species